CGUUUGGUACCGGAGUAUUCCCAGGGAUUAGCGAGUAUUAUCCCGGCCCAACUUUAAAUCCCCGAUUUUCCCCGAAAGCCCGUUUGGCGCUAGAGUUUUGGGCCGAUUUUAUCCCCGCUCAUCCCCGUCUAUCCCCAUCCCCGACCUAUUUUUGCAUUGAGCGCAACCCACGACCCAGACCCCGUGUUUUAUCCCCGUCCCCGGCCAAGGCUAGCUACAGGCGCAAGGCAACCAGCCAGAGCGGCGGCGAGCGUAGCGGUGGCGAGCGGAGGUGUGGGAGCUGAAGGUGGGGCGAGAGCUUCAGAAGGGGCGGAACACAUCUGACCGACGAAGACAAACGUGGAAUCCGCCGAGCCGAUCCACAUCGCCGCCGCCGUCGUUUUUGGAUUUUGACCGGCGACGCCACCUUCCGCCGGUCCUGUACUCCGGUUUACAUGCUCUCUGGCGUUCCCCUUCUCUGGCAAAACCAUGUGAAUGUUGACUUCACAGAGUUGAAUUCAUCCGUUGCCAUAAAAAUUGGAUCUUUUGUAAUUUAUGCUGAAUUGUCUUCACUGU